ensembl:snoRNA
GUUGAGGUCUAUCCUGAUCGGCUUGUUCUGCAGACCCACAUCAUUGGAGAUGCCUCAUCAAAUGUGUUGUUUGCUUUACUCACAGAACUAUUUGUUAGGUCUGUGGAAAGAACUGUAAGAGAGAG